GAGAGGAAGUAGGAAGAGAAGAGUCCCGGUGUCGAAAUCCCAGCUACAGAGCGGAUUGUAAAGAUAACUUCUUAUUGUCAAGAAACCUGAAGUUCAGGGUGAACCAGUGACUGGCUGAGAGCCAAGAUGGCAGCAUCGCGCUGGAGGGGUUCACCUCCCCGGACUCUCAGGCCAUUGUUUCCUGAGAUUGUCGGAUGCGGCGGCUCCAGUGAGGCAGGGAUGGAGAAGGCGUGGCCCCUGCGCUCUGGAAGCUUCUUUAAGGAGAAAGCUAAGGCUAAGGGCAGGGACGCGGAGAUAAAAAGUGAGGACAGGGACUGGAUGUGAGAAAGGAUGCGUUCGUCGAACUCGCCGAGCAGGUUCUGUCCUGGAAGCCUUUGCUUUUGCUGUUCCUGCUUCCUGGCGUGCUCACCAGCUCAAGUUUCUGCUUGUGGGAGACCUCGGAGACCGAUGUCUUAUGUCAUUCCGUAUGUCCUUUAAUUAACUCUGGCUUAUCAAAGCCCUUAUCUCACCACCUGACGUGAAUCCAGAGAUUCUUAAACUUGGAGAAGAAGGAAGUGUACGUUGCUGGGGAUGGACAGUACGCCUGCAGUGAGUAGAAGUGGCCUGUUACUAGACUUCUAAGAUUGAUUGUUCUCACUCUGCCCCACCCCCACCGUUUACUGAAGUGUCAUCUACCAAAGUGAAUUGGAAGAAGAAAAAAACUCUUGAAGAAAUUGUAUCAGAGAGUUUUACUAAUGUUGCACUUUCCUAUUUUUUGGCCUCAUCUUUUGUUCACUGAGUGCUCACAUUUUGCUAAUAUUUGAUUCUGGAGUCAACGUAAAUAAAAACUCACUUUCCUGGUUAUGAUAAAUUGACAAAUCCCAUUAUCAUCGGCAACUUUUUUUUUUUCUCCUUUGGCUGCACCCAUGGCACGUGUAAGUUCCCAUGCCAGGGAUUGAACCUAUGUUGGAUCCUUAAUCCAGUGCGCCACAAGGGAACUUCCAUCAGCAGCAUUCUAAAACCUGUAUAAUAUUGCCAGUUAUGUUAGGUUUUAUCUUCAAGUCAGACAGCACCUCCUGUUAAUAUUAGUUUCAAGGUGGCAUGAUAGCAUUGAAAGAGGUACUCAGAAUGUUUGAUCCCAGUCCUAGUCUACCAGGUAUUAGUUGUGAGCUGGGUAAGGAUCAGAUGACAUGAAUGUGAAGGCGCUUUGUCAGCUGCGAAGUGUUGUACGUGUGUUCAUGCAGUUAUAUUCACAUACCACUGAAUUAUCAAAAUCACAAGAUGUUAGGACUAAAAGGGACCUUAAGAGAUCAAUAAACCCAGCUUCUUUAUUUUAAACAUGAAGAAACUGAAAUGGAAUAUAAAAAACCAUUUGAAGGAUGCUUAUAAUAAACUAGUCACAUUUGAAUUCAUUAGUGAUUUUAAUCUUUGUCUCAUAACCUUGUUCAGAGAGUCAUUAAGAGUACCUAAGGUGACAAUGCAAAGAGAUUGCAUUACUAGUAAAUUCUCAAGCCUAGAAUUUGCCAACCCAAUGCCUCUGGGUCUCCGCUCCAUUUCCCAGUACUGUUCCUUAGGUCGAGAAUUGCAAAGCAUGGAUUAGGGCUACUCUGAGAUUUAUUAUAACACAGAGAUGGUCAGUUUAAGUAAAACAUCUCAAAAUUUGUAUUUUUAUGAAAGGUAAGAUGCCUAAAUUAGAAAGAGUCCAGGCUGGAUCACCCAAAAUGGGCGAUCCCUUGAGCUUUGCAUAAAAAACUUAGUAGACUCAGUUCUUGGAUUUCUUACUCUCUGCACCCAUCUGGUUUUGUUAACACAUAAUACUUUGUUGUUUUAAGAGGACUCCAUUGACGUAAUUUCCCCCUCCCAUAUUCCCUACCAAAAUUAGACAUCCAAAUGGGAAAAUUAAUCCAGAGAAUGCAAGCCCAGUCCUUCCAUACUGAGCAUCAGAGGUUUGGAGUGUAUCAUCACUCCUCCCCUUGUCCUUUGAGCCUCCCCACUGUUGCUAUAGAGACAGUGAUAUCACCGGUUGUGAUUCUGAUGUCACUCUCCAGUCCCAACAAGGGGGAGGUGCAUGGAAGGCUGGGGGAGGAAACAAGAUCUUGAGCUGAGCACAAACAUCCCAGCAUCUUCAUUGACUUGAAAAGUAUAUUCUGGAAUCUUCUGUGGUUCACGAUUCCAGUGCUACGGAGGUAGGAAAUCCCACUGGACUGAUGAGACAGCCCAUUUUCUGAUCCUCUGCUGUUAAAAGGGAGAAUUCAGUCACAAGUGAUGGGUAGCUUUUAUUAUUCAACUGAGCCUCCCUCUUUGCCCAGUUUUAAUUUCACAUCAGAUCCUUCUGGAAAUAGCCUCUCCCUCUGCAGCUAAAACUUUAUCUUUGCUGUCGAAGUUUUAAUUUUGUUGCAGAUUGACCAGACCCCCUUGACCAUACUUUUAGGGAAAUGGGAGGGUCUUACUCUCUGCUCUCCAAUUCGAUGAUGAGACUGGAAGUUUCACUACCUGCUGACUUUUCCUCUUCAUAUGUGGCUAGUCCAAAAGUUUGUUUUUCCAGUGCUGUCAUAACAAAAUCAGACUGGUACAGCUCCAAGUCCCAAUUCUCAACCACUUUCACCAUCUCACUGUUAUUUCUCAAUUCUUGGCUUGAUAACGGAGAACUGGGGAAAGGCAGGAUUUGUAUAUACUAUGUGAAGAAAAUCUAUGGUGCACUAGAGGAAGAAGUUAUUACUAAGAGUGAAAAUAUGGGAGAUCCACAGGAAAGCUUAAUGAAUGAAUGGUGCCACUGAGAAAAAAACACAACAGGCACACUUCUAAUCCGUAUUUAAACAAAAUAACAGCAAACCCAUUUCACCAACAACCAAAUUUAUUGUCUUCUGUAUGCCAGGCACUUAGAGAAAGGGAGUGAGAGACAAAGAGAAUGGAUAUAAAAGAAUAUAUUUUUCCUUUGAAAACUGGUCAAAUAAAGUUCAAAACUUGGUCAGAUAUGUAUCAACCCUGCAAAAGCUUCAUUUAUGCUGCAUGUAAUUUGAGUUUUUCUGUGAGUUUGGGAACCUUGAGUAAACAGGAGCUCUUGCUUGUGAUGAAGACAGGAAACAUGUCUUGAGAAGGAGCUGAGGUCUGGGGUACAACCACCAUACCUAAGCCCCUGUGUUGUUUAUAGGGGCUUAGGUAUGGUCGUUUACACCCUCCCUGGCUGGCAUAAGUCAGUCUUCUCUUGACC
rnacentral:lncRNA from 1 species